UUAAGAUGCCAUCAAUUAAUUACAGAAUCGUAUUAACAUCUUAAGACAUUGUUUGAGAAAUCUUGAAAUAAGAUUUGACGAAUACCGGCCAUAGGCACUCGUAUAGCGACAUUCAACCGACAUACGACAUUCUUGUAACUUGCGACACGGCUUGUGCGAUUAUUGUAGAUGAGACUUUAUAAUUCUUUUUGGCUGUAUUGUUCCUAGUUCCUAUCAGUUUCUGUCAGUUUUCUAUGGGAAAAGCGGGUGUUAUAUUGUAAAGAAAAAUUCAAGUUUGCAUUUACGAAAUGGGGAAGAAAGACAAAAAAAAUACUAAUAAAAUAAGUGGUCAGAUGAAAACUGCAUUAAAAACGGAAAAAAAGCUCAAUGCCAAGCAGAAAAAGGAAUUAGCAGCGCUUGGUGAGGACGACAUAGAGAAAGUUGUUGCCGAAAUUGAAAGAGAAGAGGCUCGCAGGCAAUGCAUAAAAGAAGUAGUGAUAGAUGCGCCGCUUAGACGAGUUAAUUUUACCUUGACGGCGCAUCCUUUCAAAGAUGAAAUUAUAAUGUUUGGUGGGGAGUUUCACGAUGGUCGACAGACGAUUGUGUACGGCGACAUGUUUUUUUAUAACAUCAACAAGCGAGAAUGGACGUUGGUAAAAGCGCCAGGAGCACCGCCGCCACGAUGUGGCCAUCAAGCAGUAGCCACAACGAAUUGCAGUGGUGAAUUGUGGGUGUUUGGUGGCGAAUUUACUAGCCCUAGCGAAUCGCAAUUUUAUCACUAUCGAGACUUGUGGGUAUUUCGAUUCAUCGACAAGAAGUGGGAAAAAAUCACAACUCCGAACGGACCAUCAGCCAGAAGUGGACACAGAAUGGUGCACAUGAAAAAACAGCUAAUAGUGUUCGGCGGAUUCAACGACAAUCUGCGACUCGACUAUAAAUAUUAUAAUGAUGUUUACAUUUUUUACCUGGAGACUUAUACGUGGCAAAAAAUCGAGCCUAUUGGUUCUGCACCUGCUCCUCGAUCAGGUUGUAUAUUACUGCCAACUCCGGACCACAAAGUUCUCAUGUACGGCGGCUAUAGCAAGGAGAAAGUGAAGAAGAAUGUAGAUCGAGGUUGCAUUCAUGAUGACAUGUUUCUUCUAACGCAAAUAAACAAAAACGACAUAAUUAAAUACAAAUGGAUCAAUAUAAAGCAAACUGGAACCCGAAUAAGCCCGAGGUGCGGCAUUUCUGCCACACUAAUUCAGCCUGCCGGUAAUCAGGCCUUCUUGUUUGGCGGCGUUUAUGAUGACGAUGAUAACGAAGAGGAGGAUUUGCAUGGAACAUUUUACAACGAUUUGUUUGCAUUGGACUUGGAGAAAUUGUGCUGGCGUGCUAUAACAUUAACUGGAAAGAAGGAAACGGUUGUUGCCAAUAGAAUUGAGAAACAACGAAGAAGAAAGAAACAAAAAGAAGAAAGUUGCGAGGAAGCAACGGAGCAGAUCAAUGAUUCGGAUAAAGAAACGAUGGAAGAUCUCUCGAAGGCUAUGGAAUCUAGCGUUACUGUUGUCGAUGACGGAAUAUUUACGGUAACCAUAGGUUCGAUGGAGCCAUCUACAUCUUCAUCUCUUCAAUCCAUCUCGACAGCAAUAAAUAGCAAAGAAGCAGUAUUUUGUCCAUUACCGAGAAUAAAUGCUGGAAUGGUGGUGAAACACAAUAUUUUGUAUUUGUACGGUGGCAUGAUGGAAGAAAGUAAUCGACAAUACACUUUUUCCGAUUUUUACAGCUUAGUCACGUGACCAAUGGAAUUAUGCACACUACUAUUAAGAUAUGGUGGAGGGAUGCAUCAUAUAAGAAGAGUUUCAUACAUCAGUCGCGCAUUACGGACAUCCUCACUACAGUCGCUCAUUACCGGACGGACAACAAAGGACAUUGUUUAUUGCUGGAAUCGAUCGGAAAAACGUACGAGAUGAAUUACUACGUUCCAAUUCAAGAAAACGAAGCUCGUGAUAAACCAACAAUAUCGCAGCCGCGCCAUACAUUCCGCAUCCUGAGAAGAUUUCCUCUUACGGCUACAUCCUACAAGUACCUGGAAAUGGGAAUCAGCGUGGGGCCUGAACCUUUUGUGGAAAUACUGCUUGACGACAAGGGUAACCAUAUAAUUUUGCCAUACAUAACAUGGCAAAAAUUUAUCAAGAGACGUGCGGAUGUUGAAGGACUCAUGCGGGCAAUUAUACUAUCUUUAAGACUUUUUAUUUGUGAUUUAGUAAUAGAAAUUGUAAAUAUACACGAUAAAAGUAUCGUAAAAUUAACACUAUGUAAUGUCUGUAUGUACAUAAAACCAUUAACAAUAUUAUUUUUACUUAAUUUUGAACACUGCGUCGAAUCUGUAUAUAUACAAUUAUAUCAAAAUACUCAUAGUGUAAGUGAUAAAUAUAAACAUUUUGUAAGCCUUUUACAUCAAAAUUAUAUUACUAAUAAAUGUGAUGCUCUAAAAUUAUUAUUUAAAAGUUAUGAUAAAACUUGUAUAAUACAUUGCGAACUGAUGACUUAUGCUUAUAAUAAUAUAAUAUCGUAAAUGAUGGUUUGUGUGAUAAAUAAAUAAAUAUGUAUUUUGUAUAAAGUU
rnacentral:misc_RNA from 1 species